UACGUAGGGGGCGAGCGUUGUCCGGAUUUACUGGGCGUAAAGGGCUCGUAGGCGGCCAACUAAGUCCGACGUGAAAUCCCCAGGCUUAACCUGGGAACUGCGUCGGAUACUGGAUGGCUUGAAUCCGGGAGAGGGAUGCGGAAUUCCAGGUGUAGCGGUGAAAUGCGUAGAUAUCUGGAGGAACACCCGUGGCGAAGGCGGCUCUCUGGGACGGUACUGACGCUGAGACGCGAAAGCGUGGGGAGCGAACAGG
rnacentral:rRNA from 1 species